rnacentral:rRNA from 1 species
GAUGAACGCUAGCGGGAGGCCUAAUACAUGCAAGUCGAACGGUAACAGGGUAGCAAUACUGCUGACGAGUGGCGCACGGGUGAGUAACACGUACACAACCUGCCUUAUACUGGAGCAUAGCCUUGGGAAACUAAGAUUAAUUCUCCAUAACAUUAUGAAACGGCAUCGUUUUAUAAUUAAAAUUCCGAUGGUAUAAGAUGGGUGUGCGUCUGAUUAGCUAGUUGGCGGGGUAACAGCCCACCAAGGCAACGAUCAGUAGCUGGUCUGAGAGGAUGAUCAGCCACACGGGCACUGAGACACGGGCCCGACUCCUACGGGAGGCAGCAGUAGGGAAUAUUGGACAAUGGGCGCAAGCCUGAUCCAGCCAUCCCGCGUGAAGGAUUAAGGCCCUAUGGGUUGUAAACUUCUUUUCUCUGGGAAUAAAAAGUGGAGUUCAUCUCUGCCUUGAAGGUACCAGAGGAAUAAGCACCGGCUAACUCCGUGCCAGCAGCCGCGGUAAUACGGAGGGUGCAAGCGUUAUCCGGAUUCACUGGGUUUAAAGGGUGCGUAGGUGGCUUUGUAAGUCAGUGGUGAAAGCCCGGAGCUCAACUCCGGAACUGCCAUUGAUACUGCUUAGCUUGAAUCAGAUUGAGGUGGAUGGAAUAUUACAUGUAGCGGUGAAAUGCUUAGAUAUGUAAUAGAACACCGAUUGCGAAGGCAGUUCACUAAGUCUGUAUUGACACUGAGGCACGAAAGCGUGGGGAUCAAACAGGAUUAGAUACCCUGGUAGUCCACGCCCUAAACGAUGUAAACUCGACAUUAGCGAUAUACAGUUAGUGUCCAAGCGAAAGCAUUAAGUUUACCACCUGGGAAGUACGACCGCAAGGUUG